rnacentral:misc_RNA from 1 species
AUAGAGCUUCCGCCCCUCCGCCCCAGCUCUCGAAAGGCAGAGAGACAGAGCUGCACCGGCGCUACACGUGCAUAGAGGCACUGAACGUGGACGUCUUCUCUACACAAUAUGUAGGCGUACUUGCCACUGGAAAUGCACGGCGAGUCGGUUUUAGAAUGGUGCAGCGUCGUUAGCGGGCCGAUUCGCGAGCUGCUGCAGCCGUUGAGCGGCAGGUCCCACAGCAGCAAGGAUGAGGCACUGGCGUACGUCGUACCGCGAAUGGCCGGCACUGCCAUCCCACUACGCUGUGCCGAUGUGCUGGCACGCUACGCAUCGAGUGCAGUGCACGCCGUCUCCAAGGUUCUCACGCCCGUACAAGACUUCUCGUCUGUAGGCACAGCGCAGUGAAAUCGCGAUUCUGGCAGCGCUGCUGUAGUCACUCAGCUCACCCUUUAAAGCAGGCCUCUCGAUCCUGAAGCGCUGCGUGUGCGCACGACUACCCAUAACUACUGCAGCUCGGCCCCCAUCUCACUACACGUGUGCGUGUAAUCGGCCAAUGCGACUGCGGAGCAUACCCACACUUUCUUUCUCAUGCACAGGCGCUUCGGGCUUACGGCCGAAGGCAGUCGUUCCGAAGGUCGUGCGCUUGUCUCGUCUCCUUAUCUGCUUUCUCUUCUUCUCUGUGUGUUGUGUUCUGUGAGGGCGCGAGCUGCUUUUGUGGCGUCUUUGUGCAGCGGUACGUCUGAGGGGUGUAGUGUGCCUCCCACUUUUUCGAGCCGACCCCCUUCCCCCGUACGACCUUCACUGGCACACACACACAUGUGCAGCCGCUGCUGAUGCACGCCAGCAAAUUAUCAGGCCAUGCGCUUGACCACGCUCAAGAGCGGCACGUGAGGACAUCGCACACACGGCUUUUCCCCUCUCUGUCUCACUUUCUUACAGACGCACCACAGGGUGCAUCUCAGCUGACGAGACGCGAAAAAGCAACCUGUGCAGCGACAGCGGCGGAGGCGCGUUAAGCGCCGCACGCCCUCCUUCUCAAAGCAGAAGCGAGCGUAAGCGACCUACAACGCACAUUUUGCAGAGAGAACGAAACACCAAGAUGUGCUGACCCUUUUAUGGGGCAUACGCCCGUGCGCGAUGCUGUGUGCGUGCGCCUGUGCUGUCUUAUCGUUCUAUCGCACGUCUUCUAUGCUGUGUGCCCUCGUCGUCCUUUCUUCUUCCCCUGCUUCCCUCUAUCACACCUAUCUAUCCAUCUUUCUUCCCCUCUCCCCAUCCCACCGGUCUCGACUCGUGCGUUUUCCUGCCUUUGGUCUGUUGCUCUUUGUGUGUGCUGGGACAG